UGGAGGGAAAGGAACCCCAGAUAUGCAGUCGCACGAGGUAGCCGUAAAUUAGUCCUGGAGAGAGAGGGGAGGGGGAGGGGGGGCUGGUAACUGCCUGAUGGAGGGGGAUAACUAUGGAAAAAAGAAAAGCUAAUACCGCAUGACCUCGCAAGAGCAAAGUGGGGGACCUUCUGGCCUCACGCCAUCAGAUGUAUCCUCCUAAAAAAACGGG
rnacentral:rRNA from 1 species